rnacentral:rRNA from 1 species
AGUGAACGCUGGCGGCAGGCCUAAUACAUGCAAGUCGAACGGCAGCACAGCAGAGCUUGCUCUGUGGGUGGCGAGUGGCGGACGGGUGAGGAAUACAUGGGAAUCUGCCCAGUCGUGGGGGAUAACGUAGGGAAACUCACGCUAAUACCGCAUGCGCCCUUCGGGGGAAAGCCGGGGACCUUCGGGCCUGGCGCGAUUGGAUGAGCCCAUGUCGGAUUAGCUAGUUGGCGGGGUAACGGCCCACCAAGGCGACGAUCCGUAGCUGGUCUGAGAGGAUGAUCAGCCAAACUGGAACUGAGACACGGUCCAGACUCCUACGGGAGGCAGCAGUAGGGAAUAUUGGACAAUGGGCGCAAGCCUGAUCCAGCCAUGCCGCGUGAGUGAAGAAGGCCUUCGGGUUGUAAAGCUCUUUUGUCCGGAAAGAAAAGCAUCCAGUUAAUACCUGGGUGUCCUGACGGUACCGGAAGAAUAAGCACCGGCUAACUUCGUGCCAGCCGCCGCGGUAAUAC